UCGAGCGGCAGGGCAGCAAUGCCCCUAGAGCGGCGGACUGGUGAGUAACGCGUGGGUGAUCUACCUUGGGCAUGGGAUAGCCAUUAGAAAUAGUGGGUAAUACCGAAUACGUUCGUUACCGUGAGGGUAACGAGGAAAGGCGCUACGGCGCCGGCCUGGAGAUGAGCUUGCGUCUGAUUAGCUAGUUGGUGAGGUAAUGGCUCACCAAGGCGAUGAUCGGUAGCCGGCCUGAGAGGGUGUACGGCCACACUGGGACUGAGAUACGGCCCAGACUCCUACGGGAGGCAGCAGCUAAGAAUAUUCCGCAAUGGACGAAAGUCUGACGGAGCGACGCCGCGUGGAUGAUGAAGGCCGAAAGGUUGUAAAGUCCUUUUGCUGGGGAAGAAUAAGCGUGGGAGGGAAUGCCCGCGUGAUGACAUGAACCGGCGAAUAAGCCCCGGCUAACUACGUGCCAGCAGCCGCGGUAACACGUAGGGGGCGAGCGUUGUUCGGAAUUACUGGGCGUAAAGGGCAUGUAGGCGGCUUUGUAAGC
rnacentral:rRNA from 1 species